GAAGAUAUAAAGAUGUAACUCUUCUGCCCCAAGAACAUUUCCAAAUUUUAAUUCUUGCGGGCAUGACUGUUGACAACAGCAAGAAACUUCCCUGGAAUAUGUUUAUAGAAAUGAAGGAUGACCUUGUAAAGAUGGCAGCUGACCUCCAAAGAAAAGACCUGGAAGAGGAAGCAUUUGUGGAGUACCUCAAAUUUUUAAUAGUAUAAAUAGGGUCUUUGAAAUUGCUGAGACCCAGUACAGCAAGGAGUAUGCAGGAUACCUGGCAGAUAAGAAAAAAAAGAAGAGGAAGAGGCAGAAAACAAGGCUUUCUGGGAAGAUGUAAGAAGAAAUACAAUAAAAAUCUCCCCAGACUUUGCCAAUUGGAGCUCUCUUAUGGAUAGACUGGUGGAUGGAUUUGAUAAAGAUAGGAAUGGAGAGAUGGGCCCUAGCAUGGCAUCAGCAUCAAAAAGUGUUGAAUCUUUAGCAGGAAGCACUCCACCAGAAGCCCUUAAAGAGGUCACCCCCAACACAUCAUCAGACAAGCAUGGUGGAGAGACUAAGAUAGUAGAAAGCCCAGGACAGAACUCCAAAGGCCUCCAUCCUGUGGUCCUUCGAAAGGACCUUAGUGAACAGUUCCUGCAUUCUGCACAGAAGAACACAAAGAAAAUCAUAGACACAUGGGGUGUACUAUGUAAUCCCCUGGCAAGGGAAGAAUACCAUGUCUCCCAUGUCAUUAUUCCUGUGCAGAAAGGAGGUCCUGAUUACUGUUAUGCCCAAAAUGAGGAGGAAAUCUUGUGCAAGAAGAACUGGGUCUUCUCACCCUAGGUUGGAUUCAUGUUGAUAACUAUCUGGCUUCAUGGAUCAUCUUCAAUCAGAGACUUACUGCUGGGGAUGUAGCUCAGUUGUGAAAGAGUUCCUAUUUCAAGCACUAGGACCUGGACUCAUUUCCCGGCACUGAGGAUCUAGAGGCAGGAGGAUAAUUUAAAGAUCCUCCUGGCUAUCCUAGGCUAUGUGUUCAGGACAGUACUCAUGUCACCAUCCAAAACAGCAGGGUGACCAUCGUGGAUUUGUGAUGAGUAAAUCCCACACACACACCUCAGUGGGAGCACAUGUGCACAUGUGUGUUUGUGUAUGUAUAUGUGCAUGAAUGUAAGGUGGUGUAUAUAUCUAUAUAUAUGUUACCCUUUGUCAUGUUAUAUCUGUGUUAUGUAUGCUCACUUAUAUGUAUGUAUUGCAUACUAUGCUAAUUCACAGAGCCCAGAUGAACUUAGUUUUUCACUGCAGUUUUAGCAGUUAGGAAACAACAUUGAUAAAACAGAAGAUUGUGACUCAUCAAGGCAAGAGCUCUUGAGGACAUCUGAUUCUAGAUGUGAGAACACAAAAAUUUCAUUUACUUACAAGUGUAUCUCCUCUUCUAAUACAAUUUGCAUAAUUGGACAUAAUGCAAUUAAUACUAAGGAAUUAACUAAAGUUAUAACAACACCUAAUGGAUGAAUAAUUUCUUCAAAUGGGAAGCGACUUCAUCCAGUAGCUGAUGGAUGUAGAAGCAGAGAUUCACAGCUAAGCACAGAGCAGAACUCCUGGAAUCCAGUUGUAGAAAUGAAGGAGUGAUGUGCAAAGAGGGCAAAACCAUGCACGGAAAUUCACAGAAACAGCUGACCUGAGCAAGUGGAGGUUCAUGGACCCCAGUCUGACAGCUGAGGAACCAGCAUAAGACCAACAAGGCCUCCUGAAUGUGGGUGUCAGUUGGGAGGCCUGGAUAGUCUAUUGGGACUCUGGAAGUGGAUCCAGAAUUUAUCACUAGUGCAUAAAUGGGUUUUGGGAGUCCAUUGCCUAUGGAGGGUUAAUCUCUCAGCAUAGACACAUGGGGGAGAGCCUAAGUCCUGCCCCAAAUGAUGUGACAGAUGUUGAUGAUCCCUCUUGGAAGCCUCACCCUCCCUGGGAGUGGACAGGGAUGGAUGGGAGCAAGGGAACUAAGAUUGGUAUAUAAAAUAAGAUUUAAUAAACCAAACUUCCUGAGUCACCCUUUCUCUGCAUUUAAAGAAUGUGUUUUGGAAACUCAGCUCUGUAUUUGACAUGACUUAGUCACCAGCUGUUGCUUAUAGGAACCAAACUAUAUGUUGAUUAAGGGGCACAAGGAUAAAUA